ACAUAGCUUUCAUUUGUGUACAGGAACACGUAGCUAUAUAGGAUUUCGGGCCCGCACUGCCGGCGCUACCCUUGAAGGGAACAGAUGUAAUUGAAUAGCUGCAUAGCAUUUAGUCUUCAUAUUUCUUAUUGAGGAAAUAUAUGUACCGGUGUUUGGUUUUCACUUAAUAGUUUUAAUAAACUUAUCCCUCAGACUGAUAGUAUUUGUCUCUCUGGUUACAUAUCAAAAACUUAUUUUGAAACAUUCUAACACGAGGAAACUUUUUUGGUGUUCUACCAUCUUAUCUCCAGAUCCAGGAUGAUGGUCACUCUAUUUCUGACUCUGCUUUCUUUGUACUUAUUCAAUGAUGUCGUAGCUGCAACCAGCGACAUAUGUGAAGGUGAAGAAAACUGUCCUCUGGGAAAAGAUCAAGGCUGUGUCCUGCAAUGUGACAGGAGAAACAAGUGUGUCGACCGCAUCUCCUGCCUACUGAGAUUUCGCUGCAUUUCAAUGUGUCCUGCUAUGACUACCACAACACACAUUCCUUAGCAGAGCAUAUGUCUUGUAAACUUGUUACCUUUAUUAAAAAAUACAUGGGUAUUAAAUUUUAUUCAAAAUA